rnacentral:lncRNA from 1 species
GAAUUUUAUCCGAGCUCCUACAAGAGUCGGACUCCGUCCGAACUUCUACAGCGGAUGGAUCCCAGACGAACUUCUACAACGGACGGGCUCCACCAGUCGGAUCUCUACUUCGAACUUCUAUUGCAAGCGGACUUCAUCCGAGCUCCUACAAUAAGAAGUCUCCAUCCGAGCUUCCACGGCAACCGAUCUUCGUCUGAGCUUCUAC